rnacentral:sRNA from 1 species
UAAGAAAGGAGGUGAUCCAUGUCUCAUUGUCACUCUGUAGGGGCAUUGUCGCAGGUAUGGACCACCUCGGGUGGGAUCAUCGCUUAAGCUUUGCCCCGCACGGGACAGACAAUGGAAGGGCUGCGACGGGAAACCGUCGCGGCCC